rnacentral:rRNA from 1 species
UGCAAGUCGAGCGAACAGAUAAGGAGCUUGCUCCUUUGACGUUAGCGGCGGACGGGUGAGUAACACGUGGGUAACCUACCUAUAAGACUGGGAUAACUUCGGGAAACCGGAGCUAAUACCGGAUAACAUUUGGAACCGCAUGGUUCUAAAGUGAAAGAUGGUUUUGCUAUCACUUAUAGAUGGACCCGCGCCGUAUUAGCUAGUUGGUAAGGUAACGGCUUACCAAGGCGACGAUACGUAGCCGACCUGAGAGGGUGAUCGGCCACACUGGAACUGAGACACGGUCCAGACUCCUACGGGAGGCAGCAGUAGGGAAUCUUCCGCAAUGGGCGAAAGCCUGACGGAGCAACGCCGCGUGAGUGAUGAAGGGUUUCGGCUCGUAAAACUCUGUUAUUAGGGAAGAACAAAUGUGUAAGUAACUGUGCACGUCUUGACGGUACCUAAUCAGAAAGCCACGGCUAACUACGUGCCAGCAGCCGCGGUAAUACGUAGGUGGCAAGCGUUAUCCGGAAUUAUUGGGCGUAAAGCGCGCGUAGGCGGUUUCUUAAGUCUGAUGUGAAAGCCCACGGCUCAACCGUGGAGGGUCAUUGGAAACUGGGAAACUUGAGUGCAGAAGAGGAAAGUGGAAUUCCAUGUGUAGCGGUGAAAUGCGCAGAGAUAUGGAGGAACACCAGUGGCGAAGGCGACUUUCUGGUCUGUAACUGACGCUGAUGUGCGAAAGCGUGGGGAUCAAACAGGAUUAGAUACCCUGGUAGUCCACGCCGUAAACGAUGAGUGCUAAGUGUUAGGGGGUUUCCGCCCCUUAGUGCUGCAGCUAACGCAUUAAGCACUCCGCCUGGGGAGUACGACCGCAAGGUUGAAACUCAAAGGAAUUGACGGGGACCCGCACAAGCGGUGGAGCAUGUGGUUUAAUUCGAAGCAACGCGAAGAACCUUACCAAAUCUUGACAUCCUUUGAAAACUCUAGAGAUAGAGCUUUCCCCUUCGGGGGACAAAGUGACAGGUGGUGCAUGGUUGUCGUCAGCUCGUGUCGUGAGAUGUUGGGUUAAGUCCCGCAACGAGCGCAACCCUUAAGCUUAGUUGCCAUCAUUAAGUUGGGCACUCUAGGUUGACUGCCGGUGACAAACCGGAGGAAGGUGGGGAUGACGUCAAAUCAUCAUGCCCCUUAUGAUUUGGGCUACACACGUGCUACAAUGGACAAUACAAAGGGCAGCUAAACCGCGAGGUCAUGCAAAUCCCAUAAAGUUGUUCUCAGUUCGGAUUGUAGUCUGCAACUCGACUACAUGAAGCUGGAAUCGCUAGUAAUCGUAGAUCAGCAUGCUACGGUGAAUACGUUCCCGGGUCUUGUACACACCGCCCGUCACACCACGAGAGUUUGUAACACCCGAAGCCGGUGGAGUAACCAUUUAUGGAGCUAG